rnacentral:rRNA from 1 species
UACAGAGGUCCCAAGCGUUGUUCGGAUUCACUGGGCGUAAAGGGUGCGUAGGUGGCGGGGUAAGUUUGAUGUGAAAUCUCCGGGCUCAACCCGGAAAAUGCAUUGAAUACUACUCUGCUGGAGGUUUGGAGGGGGGACUGGAAUUCUUGGUGUAGCAGUGAAAUGCGUAGAUAUCAAGAGGAACACCAGUGGCGAAGGCGAGUCCCUGGACAACACCUGACACUGAGGCACGAAAGCUGGGGGAGCGAACGGG